GUUCUCUCGGUGGUAGAGGCAAGGCCCUUUGCCUCAGUUUUACCAGUGUGGGUAGCCGUGGGAGACAUUCUCCAUACGCCUGUGAGAAGCAGAAGUGGAGCAGAAAGGGUCUGGGAAUGCAGACAUGGGUCCUGGGUUCCCGGAGUGAGGGCAUGAGGCAGGGGAGUUGUUUGCUUCCACGGAGCCCUGUCCUGGGCAGAAAAAAAGUCAUCGCUAAGCUCCUGCUCUGGGUGAUGUUUCCCCUGACAGCUCCGUUCUCCUCACCUGUCUAAACUAAGUAAAGAGGAUCCAAUAUCCACCUCGUGCUGAUCUUUUCAGCAGAUAC